AUUGAACGCUGGCGGCAUGCCUAACACAUGCAAGUCGAACGGCAGCACAGCCCGCAAGGGUGGGUGGCGAGUGGCGGACGGGUGAGGAAUACAUGGGAAUCUACCCUGUCGUGGGGGAUAACGUAGGGAAACUUACGCUAAUACCGCAUACGACCGAGAGGUGAAAGCGGCGGACCGCAAGGCGUCGCGCGGCUGGAUGAGCCCAUGUCGGAUUAGCUAGUUGGCGGGGUAAAGGCCCACCAAGGCGACGAUCCGUAGCUGGUCUGAGAGGAUGAUCAGCCACACUGGAACUGAGACACGGUCCAGACUCCUACGGGAGGCAGCAGUGGGGAAUAUUGGACAAUGGGCGCAAGCCUGAUCCAGCAAUGCCGCGUGGGUGAAGAAGGCCUUCGGGUUGUAAAGCCCUUUUGUACGGGAAGAAAUCCUGCCGGUUAAUACCCGGCGGGGAUGACGGUACCGUAAGAAUAAGCACCGGCUAACUUCGUGCCAGCAGCCGCCGUAAGAC
rnacentral:rRNA from 1 species